rnacentral:rRNA from 1 species
GACGAACGCUGGCGGCGUGCCUAACACAUGCAAGUCGAACGAAGCAUUUAAGUGAAUCCCUUCGGGGUGAAGCUUUUAUGACUUAGUGGCGGACGGGUGAGUAACGCGUGAGUAACCUGCCUUUCAGAGGGGGAUAACAGUUGGAAACGACUGCUAAUACCGCAUAACGUAUUUUGAUCGCAUGGUCGAGAUACCAAAGCUGAGGCGCUGAAAGAUGGACUCGCGUCUGAUUAGAUAGUUGGUGGGGUAACGGCCUACCAAGUCGACGAUCAGUAGCCGGACUGAGAGGUUGAACGGCCACAUUGGGACUGAGACACGGCCCAGACUCCUACGGGAGGCAGCAGUGGGGAAUAUUGCACAAUGGGCGAAAGCCUGAUGCAGCAACGCCGCGUGAGGGAAGACGGUUUUCGGAUUGUAAACCUCUGUCUUUGGUGAAGAAGAAAGUGACGGUAGCCAAGGAGGGAAGCCAACGGGCUAACUACGUG